AUGUUCACUUACGUGAUCUCACUGGGCCGCCCCACUCUGCUGGGACUUGCUGUAGCCUCGGAGCCUGGCUCCUGCACCCCGCCACCUCUCCAGCCCCGUGCCUGGCCCUGGCCUUGAUUGGGGGCCAGGGUGUCUGGCAGGGAGCCCCUUGGGACACAGCUCUCGUGCCGUGCCGGGACUGACUCAGCCUCCAGCAGUCUCACCGAAUCGGAAUUUAGAGCAGGGUAGCAGAGAUGCCACCGGGCUGACUGGGUGGAAGUGGCUGAGUCAUGAGAUGCUGGCUCAGGGGCUGAGUCCCCCUCUGCCCAGCCUUGGGAAGUCCCCAGAGCUGGGUGGUCUCCAGCACUGGCUUCUUCCAUAGCUGAGUGUGUCACACACACAGCCCCUCUUCAUCCCUGAGCCUUGCCCCAGCCCACAACUCACUGUCUCCCAAGCCACUUCCACCCUCCUCUUGUCCCCGCUCCGUUCUCCACAGCCAG
rnacentral:lncRNA from 1 species